AGCGCAGGCGGUUUGAUAAGUCUGAAGUAAAAGGCUGUGGCUUAACCAUAGUAUGCUUUGGAAACUGUCAAACUUGAGUGCAGAAGGGGAGAGUGGAAUUCCAUGUGUAGCGGUGAAAUGCGUAGAUAUAUGGAGGAACACCGGUGGCGAAAGCGGCUCUCUGGUCUGUAACUGACGCUGAGGCUGAAAGCGUGGGGAACAAACA
rnacentral:rRNA from 1 species